ACUUCCCACAACACUUGCUGUCCUGGUGCCUGUGAGACAUUAGGGAUUACCACAACUCAGAUAGCAUCAUAGAUCCUUAUCGCCAUCUAUCCUAGCUGGCAACCUAAUGCUGGGUUCACAAAAUCUGACUAUUCCAAUAACUUAAGAAAAUGACAAAGAAAGCAUGCAAAUAUACAAAAGUAUUUUUUCAAAAUCCAUGAGGGAUCUCCGAUCUUAAGGGUUUUUGGAAAGAAAGAGAGCCACUGGAAUUUUUUAUUCUUAUAUAGGGAACACACAAGGGGAGGUUCCAUGGAACAUUCUAUCUCAAAAAGGGCAAAGGGGUAGGAUUACAAAGGAAUGGGUGAGUGUAACUCAACCCCAGUGGGUGACGCCUACUCCUGGAGCCACGCCUUGCUAUCUGAGCUGGGAUAAUGCCCAAGUUACUGCAACCUGACACUACCAUGCCACCCUGAAGGCAAUAAUUGUUCAGAACCUGGUGCAUCAGGACUUAAAGGUGUCUGCAUCCAGGGUAGCUCCUGACAGAUCCUAUCUUAUUAUGGCUAGAUAUAGAUGAAGAUUUAUACAUACAUCUAUAUCUUUAUUUUUUUUAGCUUUUCAUCACAAUGACAAAAACUCAAUAAGAGCAACUUAGAAUAGGAAAAGUUGAUUUUUGGCUCAGUCCAUGGUAGACUGACUCCAUUGCUCAGAGCCCAAGAUGAGGCAGAACAUAAUGAUGGAAGGGUGUGGUAGAAAAGUGCUGUUCUCCAUUCAUGUGGCCAGGAAUCAGAAAGAGAAAAGGGAAUGAGCUGCAGGGAAUAUGCACCCUUACAGGGCACACCAUCAAUGACCCACCUCCUCCAGGCAUGCUCCAUCUGCCUACAGCAUUUUUCACAUGUGGCUGUAAAAAUUGUCUCCUGUUAUUGAACCUUCCUGGGAAUUGGUUAACAGGGGCUCUCAGCCCAGCCCUUCCAUUGGCAGCCUGGGAGACAUUGACUCCACAUCUUGGAGAGUGUGGCUACGUGUGCGACUCUGUGCAUGAGUAGAAGUGGGAUAUCUGGAGCCUAUCUUCCAGACUUCUUUGAGGAAGGCCUUAAGAAGUAAGGAGUGGCAUGGAGAUCCUGGCCUGAGCCUUGAAGACUACAGACUGAAAUGGGCAGUGAAAAGCCUCCAGCCUAGAAAGAAGAAAAAAGGUGCUUUGGGCCCUUAGGGCCUCCAUCACAAAGGUCCUCUAGGGUAUGUCCUGUUGAGAGCCACAGCCGAAGUGGACCCCAGCAAACUUCCAGCUGAUUGGCUCCUCUGCAGUAAUGCUCAUUGGGCUGUUUCCCCGCCCUUUCAGACCACGGAGCUGCUCAUUGGGGGACUCAUUUGGCUCUGCCCACGCGACCAAGCCAAUCUGCCUUAAGAGCGGGACCUAAGAGUUCCAGUUGAGGUGCUCACCGGAAGAGCCAGUGGUGGCAGUUGGGCUCUCAGGGAAUUCCUGGAGAGCUUGCGUGGUGCGGCGUGUGUUCAAAAAAUAAAGUUCGUUCCUGCUUGACAAGUGGCUCGUGAAUUGUGCCCAGCCAGACUGUGGCAAUGUCCUACCUGGGGAAUCACAUUGUAUCCAUGGAUUUUGACCAAAGAAGUAUAGUGGCUUCUGGUGCCAAUGGGGUAGCAGUGAGAACCUACUCAGGUAAAACUAACAGGUUUGAAAGUUGGGGCCUGUUUUAGCACCACAAAUCUGUAAGUAUGGGAGCCUCCUGCAUUCUGUGCAGUCUCCCAAUACAGUAAACACAAAGCCUGAGCUCAUCUACACAAUGCUGGGGUGUUGCAUGAUUUAGGAGUCUCUGAUUUUUGAUAUAUAGGGAAGACAAAAGAAUCUUGGCAGUAUCAGCUCACCCAGUUGCUGCUUUCAUUGUGUAACUGAAAAUAUUUUGCUGGUCCAGAUGGCAUCUCUCUGAAAUUCACAAGCAAUGCAUGGGGCUCAGGAGAGCUAGCGAUUAUUGCAGCUGUGCCCUAGCUGGGCUGGAACUGGAGCAGGCUGAGAGGACUGGCUUGGGAAUUGUACUGGCUAGAGUCCCAGCAGGUGGGCAGAACCUGCUACCUAAAGCCUUUGUUUAUUGAUUGUCUUUUGGAGGCUGAGAAUAGGUCUCCAGAUUGGCUGUUUAUGGGAUUUACAUUUUCUGGUGGGGCCCAGAGAAGUUUAGUAGUGUUUCAGGGUCAUGCAGUGGAGCUGAGAUUGAAAUCAAUUCAGUCUGAUUCCAGAUCUCAUGGUUCAAAGACUGCCCCAUCAUGUGAUCACUUAACUCUGAUCAGUCAAAAAGGUCGAGAAUAAAUUACCAGCUAGGGCAAAAUGGUGGUUUCCACCCUGGACUACAAGGUAAGGGUUAGGAUAGAAUUUAAAGAUUUUUCCUACUCAGGCACAAAGGAAAAACUUAAGACUCCAAGAUUCAAUGGAGAAUAUUCCCAGUUGUGGGGUUUGACAACUUUUGAAAACUU